rnacentral:pre_miRNA from 1 species
CCCACACCCAUGUGUAUAGGAAUCCAAAGGAUCACCAUUAAAUUUGGCAUAGAUCUCUAAAAACGUUAUCACAUGAGUGUGGGACUUGACUUUUCUAGAGAUCUAUCCCUAAUUUAAUGGUGAUCCUUUGGAGUCCUACACACAUGGGUGUGGG